AUGCCCCCGAGGGUCAUUUUUCUGCUCGGACUUGUGUUUUGCUGGGACCAAAGGAUUUGGGCACAGACUGACCUCUACCCUUCUCUGGAAAGCUUCCUGGUCUCCAGCCCUUUCCCGUCAUCACGGAUGAGUCAAGAGGAAGAUGCUCAGGUUUUACAAAAAUGCAGCAAGGUGACUCAGCUGAGGUCGGCAUUCACCAUGUGGAGAACUGGGGACAUUGGUAUGGGCCCCAGAGCCCCGGUGGGUACAGGAACCAGCCUUAAUUGGGUGUGUCAUGCAUCCCUUUCAUCUGCUAUCACCUCAACUGCUUCCAGCUCUUCUGCAGAAGGUCUGUUCACAGGAAGACACUCUCGCCCAGGAGAUGAACUUGAAGUAGAAUGAAGACCUUGGCAUUCCCGUCAUGGCGCAGUGGUUAAUGAAUCUGAAUAGGAACCAUGAGGCUGCAGGUUCGAUCCCUGGCCUUGCUCAGUGGGUUAAGGAUCCAGCAUUGCCGUGAGCUGUGGUGUAGGUCGCAGAUGCGGUUUGGGUCCCACGUUGCUGUGGCUGUGGUGUAGGCUGGUGGCUACAGCUCCGAUGGGACCCCUAGCCUGGGAACCUCCAUGUGCCGCAGGAAGCGGCCCUAGAAAAGGCCAAAAGACAAAACAGAAAAAAAGAGAAGACCUUAACGCUGGCUAGUGCUGAGAUCUUUGGCAAUUUCCUGCAUUGGCGCCCCAGGUUCUUGCUUUUUAAAAUGAAAUAAUAACUGUGUUGCAUUAGUUAAGAUACAAGGCAUGGCAAGCUCAGACCACAGCGCUUUGCCCAGAUUAGGGUUGCAUCUAGUAAUGCUCUCUUCCCUACAAAGUUAACACCACGCUAAUUACGUUACUGUUGACCAUGUUCUUGAUGCCGUUACAUCCUGUGGUUUAUUAUAUAACCGAAGCUUUGAACUUCUUAAUUCCCUUCCCUUCCUUCACCUCCUCCACCUUCCUUCUGGCAGCCACCUGUUUAUUCUCUGGUUUUCUGAGUCUGGGUUUUCAUUUGUUUUGUUCUUCGGAUUCCACUUGUUCCAUGUAAGUGAGAUCAUAUGAUAGUUGUUUUUCUCGGACUUAUUUCACUUAGCAGAACCACUCUAGAUCCACGCAUGUGGGCACAAAUGGCAAGAUUUCAUUUUUCUAUGGCCGAGUAAAAUGCCCUUAUAUGUACGCAUAUAUCAGAUCUUUGUCUAUUUGUCACUUCAUGGACUCUCUGGUCGCUUCUAUACCUUGGCUAUUGUGAAUAGUUCUGCUCUGAACCUUGGGGUGUGUGUAUUUUUUUGCAUUACAGUUUUCAUUUUUAGGGAGAUAGACACCUAGGAGUGGACUUGCUGGAGUAUAUGGUAGUUCUAGUUUUAGAUUUCUGAGAAAUAUCCGUACUGUUUUCCACAGUGGCCGCCCCAACGCACAUUCCCACCAAUAGCGUACGAGGGUUCCCUUUGCUUCACAUCCUCGCCAGCACUGCGCAGUCGUGGUCUUUUUCACGAUCACCAUACUGACUCGAGGGAGGAGAUAUUUCAUGUUGGUUUUAACUUUCAUGUCUUUGAUGAUCAGUGGUAUUGAGUGUCUUUUCAUGUCUGCUUUGGGAAAAUGUCUAUUCAUUUCUUCUGCCCAUUUUUUAAAUCAGCUGUUUUUUUUUUUUUUUUGCUGUUGAGGAAUAUGAGCCAUUUAUAUAUUUUGGGUAUUAAACCUCUUGUUGGUCAUAUCAUUUGCAAAUACUUUCUCCUAUUCAGUAGAUUGUCUUUUUUUUUGGCAAUGGUUUCUUUUGCUGUGCAAAAGCCUUUAAAUUUAAUUAGGUUCCUUUUGUUUAUUUUUGCUUUUAUUUCCUUUGUUUUAGGAGGUAUAUCGAAAAAACAUUGCUAUGAUUUAUGUCAAAGAGUGUUCAGUCUUUAUUUUAUUUUAGGAGUUUCAUGGUUCCUGGCCUUAUAUUUGGACCUUUAAUCAAUCAAUUAAAAAAUUUUUUUUAAAUUGUAGUUGAUUUACAAUAUUCUGUUAAUUUCUGCUGUAUAGCAAAUUGACCCAGGCAUACAUAUGUAUACAUUAUUUUUCUCAUAUUGUCUUCUAUCACAAAUGAUUUGAUAUAGUUUCCUAUGCUGUACAGUAGGGCCUUAUUGUCUAUCCAUCUUAAAUGUAAUAGUUUGCAUCUACUAACCCCAAACUCCCCAUCCCUCCCACUCCCUUCACCUCCCUCUUGGCAACCAUGAGUCUGUUCUCCAUGUCUGUGAGUCUGUUUCUGUUCUGUAGAUACAGAAUAUCUGUGCCAUAUUUUAGAUUCCACAUAUAAGUGAUAUCAUGUGGUAUUUGUCUUUCUCUUUCUGACUUACUUAGUAUGAGAAUCUCUAGUUGUAUCCAUGUUGCUGCAAAAGGCAUUAUUUGUUCUUUUUAAUGGAUGAAUAGUAUUCCAUUGUGUGUAUAUUACCACAUCCUCUUAAUCCAUUCGUCUGUUAAUGGACAUUUAGGUUGUUCCCAUGUCUUGGCUAUUGUGAAUAGUGCUGCAGUGAACAUAGGGGUGCAUGUAUCUUUUUGAAUGAAAGUUUUGUCCAGAUGUAUGCCCAGGAGGGGGAUUUCUGGAUCACAUGGUAGUUCUAUAUUUAGUUUUCUGAGGAACCUCCAUACUGUUUUCCAUAGUGGCUAUACCAGUUUACAUCCCCACCAACAGUAUAGGAGGGUUCCCUUUUCUCCACACCCUUUCCAGCCUUUGUUAUUUAUAGACUUAUUAAUGAUGGCCAUUCUGACUGGUACGAGGUGGUAUCUUAUUGUAGUUUUUAUUUGCAUUUCUCUGAUAAUUAGUGAUGUUGAGCAUUUUUCAUGUGCCUGUUGGCCAUUUAAUCUAUUUUGAGUUUCUUUUUUAUUGUAUAUGGUGUUAGAGAAUGCUUUAACUUCAUUCUUUUACAUGCAGCUGUCCAUUUCCCGUACUACCAUUUACUGAAGAGACUGUCCAUUGUAUAUUCUUGCAUUUUUUUCAUAGAUUAAAUUAACCAUAAAUGCAUGGAUUUAUUUCUGGGCUCUUUAUUCGAUUUCAUUCAUCUGUGUGUCUGCUUUCAGGACAGUACCAUACUGUUUUGAUUACUGUAGCUUUGUAGCAUAGUCUGAAGUCAGGAAGCAUGAGUUCUCCGGGUUUGUAGUUCUUUCUCAAGAUUGUCUUGACUAUUCAGGGUCUUUUGUGUUUCCAUGCAAAUUUUUAAACUACUCAUUCUAGUUCUGUGAAAAAUGCCAUGGACAUUUUGAUAGGGAUUGCCUUGAACCUAUAGAUUGCCACAUGUAAUGUGGCCAUUAUAACCAUAUUAAUUUUUCCAGUUCAUGAACAUGGUAUAUCUUUCUAUCUGUUUGUGUCAUCUUCAACAUCUUGCCUCGUAUAUGGAAGACAUGCAAUAAAUGUUUAUUGAAUGGAUGAAUUAAUCCAACAGGAGGUCAGUAACAGGUAUUUACUGUUGACUAAUUCCUAGAUCUACCUGAAAUCUACCUAAAUCCUCCUGAAAAUGGAUAUCUUCCCAUUGUGAUUGGGACCUCAGCCAUCAGUGUUCUCCCUCUCUUCCUCCUCUUCCUCCUCCUCUGCCAUUGCUGGUGUCGAGCCAAACACAGUAGGUCCUGGAUGGGGGGAAGAGGUAACCUGGGAAGAGUGCGGGGGAGGGGCUCAACAGAUUCCCCUACCAGGACUCUGAUCACUGACUCCCUGUAGGGGCCACGGAUGAUGAGACCAAGAGCCAAGUGCAGUAUGACAGGUGGGGAAAAUUGGACCCCCUCCCGUAGACACUGCUGCUUCUGUCUCAUUUCUCAGACCUUCCUUAAUGCUUCUUUCUCCUUCCACUCAGCUCCGGCCCAGGCUUGAACUUUGCAGAAGACAAUCAAUCUAAGAGGAGUGAGAAGGAGGGGCAACCGGGGUAGGGAAAGAUGUGUUCAGGAGAAGAUAGACGGCCUCCCGGAAGGAGCAGAGACGUGGCACACACCUCACUGGGUGUGAUAUCCCUGCUCUUCCCUGACAUUGGCACCCCCCAAGUCCAGACGGCAGGGUGGGAUGACCGGAGGCUCCCCCUGGAAGCCCUUCCUCUCCUCUUUCUUUCCAGGUGGUGUCUCAGUGGAUAUCGCCUCUGAGGGGGACAGACAGAUGGACAUGGAGGCCCUCCCAGAGGAAGACCCACAGGACGUGAUCUCUGUUCAGCAACACUGAGAUUCCCUGAUGGGGAGUGUGGAUUCAGAGUUCUCCUGCACCCUUGAGGAAUCCUUGUGAUAGCCCUGUGUGUAUAUCACCCUCCCCUGGUCUUGAGUGCAGAGCCAGAACUGGCCAUGUGGACUCCAGCGCUUAAGGGCCCCUUAAGGAAGAUGCGGCGUCCCACUCGUGUCCCCCACAGCAGCAGCAUCUUGGAGCUCCCCAAAGACUCAAGAAUAGAGAAGCCUUGUCACCUGUCAAGAAAUUCUGGGAUGCAUCGCAUCCCUCAACCGAUUCCUGGUUCCUUCUGUUUUUAUCCCCUCAUUUGCUUAUUUAACAGAUAUUCGCAGAAGUUGACUCUUCCUUUGCACCUGUGCUGAGGAGGGACAGAUCAGUAGGACACAGCUCCUGGUCUUAAGGAGUGCCUGGCCUCCUGAGAGAGGCAAACCUUAUGAUCGCUUGGACCCUUAGAAAGCAAAGAGGGGGUGAGCUACUGGAGCAGGGGAAGGAUGAUGUGGGCGACACAGGAAUACUCAUCCGGGUGCAUUUAAGGAGGACCCACAGGUACCCAACGCAAGGAGAAGUCAAGAAGACAUAGGAGUCAAACUGGGCGGGAGGGAGUUCCUGGUGGCAUUUUGCUCCAAUGCUCUAGGUUUUGUGUGAGCUGAAGCCUUCAGAGCAGCAAAAGGCGAACAAGAAAGAUUCUUUGUAAAGGAACCAAAUUGCAACUAUUUGACCAGAAGAAGGAUUUCUCUUGGGGAGGGGAAUGGUGCAGAGGGUGUUUGGGGGGGGUAUGGUUUCCCUCUAGUUUUGGUGAAUUUCACUUUUUAGUUAUGCAAUGAAAAGAAAUAGAAUACAAUAUAACGAGAUGGGAGUGGCAGGAGAGGAAUUGGAGUUGGUAUUAAAGUAGAUGCGAAUGAUUACAUUUGAGAUGGAUGAGCAGUGAGGUCCUACAGUACAGCACAGGGGACUCUGUCCAGUCUCUUGGGAGAGACUAUGAUGGAAGAUAAUAGGAGAAAAAGAAUUUGUGUGACUGGGGCACUCUGCUGCACAGCAGAAAUUGGCACAACACU
rnacentral:lncRNA from 1 species